GUAAUCUAAUAUAUUGAAAAGCUUUGAAUUCACGAAACCAGGCGAACUAAAUUAUAUAUAAUUUUAGUGUAGAUAUUUAUAGCGUAGUAUAGCCAUAUUGUUAAUAUAAUUUAGGGGUGACAGGCCAUUCAAGUCUGGGGAUAUCUUGAUUUUAGGGAGAUAUAUUUAGUAUAUAAAUCAACUUGAAAAUGGUAAGGUUUUUAAGAAUUAUCAUAUUUGUUUGGGCAAAACUUUUGUUUUUUUAAUCAAUUCUAAUUUUAGGAAUGUAAUAUUCCUUACAUGUACAUAUAAUAAUUACUUAAAUACUUUGGGCUAUAAAAUCCAACGAGAAAAAUGAUUACAUUAGUAUAAUAUAAAGUUUAUAUGAGGAACUCGGCAAAUAGUUUUCUCGACUGUUUAUCAAAAACAUAGCCUAAAGGUAUUCCGUUUUAGGUUAAACCUGCUCAAUGAGUUUUUAAUAGCCGCAGUACUUUGACUGUGCAAAGGUAGCAUAAUCAAUUGGCUUAUAAUUGAAGUCUGGAAUGAAUGGGAAAUAGGGGAAAACCUGUCUUAUUGAAAUAUAUAAAAUUUACUUAAUAAGUGAAAAUUCUUAUAAAUAGAAAAAAGACGAGAAGACCCUAGAAAUUUUUUCUAAAACUUUUUAAAAAUUGGGAUUUUGUUGGGGCGACAAGGUAACAAAAAACUUACUUAUUUCUCUUAAGCAUCAAUUUUUGAAGAACACUAAAAUUACUCUAGGGAUAACAGCAUAAUAUAUUAAAGUUUGUGACCUCGAUGUUGGACUAGGAAACUUAAUAUUUAAAAGAUAUUAUUUUUAGCUCUGUUCGAGCUAUUACCUCCUACAUGAUCUGAGUUCAGACCGG
rnacentral:rRNA from 1 species